AUGUUGUGCAUACUUGAUAUAGGUAAUUGUCAAUGUCAACUAUCAUUAUACUGACAUUUGAAGUUUGUUUUUUUUCUAAAUUACCUCCCUUAUAUAUGCAUUUUUCUUCAUUCAUUUUAUUGAUAAUUACUUCCCUUUAUGUUUAGCAACAAUUCUCAGAUUGCAUUUAAUUAACUCCAUUUAUUUAACAUGAAAAAUUCUCUUGUGUAAUGAUUAUUUGUAUAUUUUACUUACAGUGUCUGAUACAUGUAGUUGCAGUCUGUCUUUGGAAGCUGUAGAAAUAACAAGAAAGAGGCUGACAUAGUGUUUUGGUAGGGAAAAGUUUGAGUAUGUACAUGUACAGUUGUUUGACCUGUCUUACCCUGUGGCAGUCCAAGAAGAUGUUACCAUUAUGAACAAGAGUGCCAGAAUGUCACAAUAUACGCCCGUCACAGCAAAUUUCUUUACUCUAGCACCUGUAUUUGCAAAUGGAAUUUUAAUUUUGUGGUUGUUUAGUAAUCAUUAACUUGAAGACAAUGGGUAGUGCAGAAGGGACAUUAAAGUUGUGAUAAAAGUAACAGAUAUAAAUAAGAAGUGCUACAAGUGUGUUGUCAUGUGAAAUGGAAUUUACCCCAACUGUGCUGCAUGAUGUAUAUUCAAGUGUGAGACAGCCAUGCACCAGCUGUAAACUGAGAUGGACCCAUAUAAUAAAUAUGUUGACUUUUCUAUGUAUUAUCAUCUGUACAGAAUGUGUUCAUGACAAGACUGUAUACAUAUAUUGUUAAAUCAUUUUUAUUUCCAUUAUUGCAUGCAUGUAAGAAGCAAGCAUUUAACAAUUGCAUUCAUAGAAAUGUUAAAAUGUGAUCAAUCUAAUUUAAAGGAACACAUUUAAUUGGACUUUUUAAGUUUCAUAGUAUUUCUGGUGGAGAUUGACCCAGUCAUUCAGCAACUUAUACUGUCUUUGUGUCAUUUCUUGUAUGUUAUAGUUUUCUUAAUAAUACAUGUACAUUAAAUGUCAAAGUUAUGGUAAGAUGAACUCAUUCAUCACUUGUAGAUUAAUGUUAAAGCAGUUCAACAUUUUACCAUAAGUUAACUAAUAUUCUAUUUAACCAGAGUUGUCACAUAUUUUCAUAUAAACAUUAAUACAGUCUAAUCUAAUCUACAAAUGAUGUUCCACAAUUUUUUAGUUAUAUUUUAUGUUGAUAUUUCAUGUUGUUUUCAUGUCUCAACAUAUAAUUACUAACAUCAAAGAAACUUGAGUAUUUUACAAUUUGGUUGGUAUAAAAUGUUGUUUUAUUUAUAUAUUUUAUUUUUUUCCAUCCAGGAGAAUAAAGAAAUAUACAUUUCAAAAUAUCUCAUCAUUCCAGAUAAGUACACUACAUAAACAAGAUAAAAGAAAUAAGAACAAAAUAUGUUGGUGGAAUUUUAUUUUCAAAAAUUUGAUAUACAGUCUUUACUUCUUUAGAUAUGCUGGACUGAAAUGGGAAUAACAACAUACUUUAAAUUUUUGUAGUCAUAAGUUAAUAUGGGAAUUAUUAACUUAACUUAACUUAAAAAGAUUUGUUCUCACUGUUAUGCCAUCUGAGCUUUAAUAUUUUUCAACAUUGUCAUUGGCAACAAGGCUCAAAAUUAUUUGUUGUGUAUACCUUGCAAAAAUAUACAUUUCAAAAUAUCUCAUCAUUCCAGAUAAGUACACUACAUAAACAAGAUAAAAGAAAUAAGAACAAAAUAUGUUGGUGGAAUUUUAUUUUCAAAAAUUUGAUAUACAGUCUUUGUAGUAUUUACUUCUUUAGAUAUGCUGGACUGAAAUGGGAAUAACAACAUACUUUAAAUUUUUGUAGUCAUAGGUUAAUAUGGGAAUUAUUAACUUAACUUAACUUAAAAAGAUUUUUUCUCACUGUUAUGCCAUCUGAGCUUUAAUAUUUUUCAACAUUGUCAUUGGCAACAAGGCUCAAAAUUAUUUGUUGUGUAUACCUUGCAUUUAUGUGUGAUAAAUGCUUUUAAUGGUAUUCUUUAAUAUAAUUUAUGCUUUUCAUCUUACCAUGGAUUAAAAAAAUAUAAAUUUAUUUGUCUGAAAAUUAAGGUAAAAAUACUGACUGAUUAAAUUGCAAUAUAAGAAAGCUUAUUUGAGAUAAAGGGAGGUAAUUCCAUAAAAAAUAUGUAGAAUGUAGAUGAUAAAUAUAACAAAGGGAAGUAAUAAAAUAU